rnacentral:rRNA from 1 species
UACGUAGGGGGCUAGCGUUGUCCGGAAUCAUUGGGCGUAAAGAGCGUGUAGGCGGCCCGAUAAGUCCGCUGUGAAAGUCCAGGGCUCAACCCUGGAAUGCCGGUGGAUACUGUCGGGCUCGAGUCCGGAAGAGGUGAGUGGAAUUCCGUGGUGUAGCGGUGAAAUGCGCAGAUAUCGGGAGGAACACCAAUGGCGAAGGCAGCUCGCUGGGACGUUACUGACGCUGAGGUGCGAAAGCGUGGGGAGCAAACAGG